AUGAGUUCCUUGGAUAUAACCAAAUGUGCUUUUAUUGAUAGUAAGUGUGGAAGCAGAGUAAUCACAACUACUCGUAUCUUUGAAGUGGCGAAAGAGGCAAGUGACAUUUACAAGCAAGAACCUCUUUCUCCUGGUAAAUCGAAGGAAUUGUUCUGUAUGAGAUUAUCUAUUGGCAAAAGCAAAAGCCCUUAUCAUGAAUCAGUUAAGAUAUCUGAGAAGAUAUUGCAGAAAUGUGGUGGCAUACCGCUAGCUAUCGUUACAAUAGCUAGCUUGUUGGCUAGUAAACCAGUAAUGGAUUGGCCUGGGGUCUAUGACUCUAUUGGUUUUGGGGAUGAAGAUAACAAAGAAGUGAAUACCACAAGAAAGAUACUGCUAUAUAGCUACUAUGAUCUUCCAUAUUAUCCGCGGCUUUGCCUAUUGGACUUGGACCUAGGCAUAUACCCUGAAGAUUAUGAGAUAAAAAAGGACACUUUAAUUUGGAAGUGGGUAGCCGAAGGAUAUGCCCAUGGGGAACCAGGAAAAGGAUUAUUUGAGGUUGGAGAGAGAUACUUGAACUUGCUCAUAGAUAGAAGCAUGAUCCAGGCAGUGGAGAAGCCAUAUAAGAGCAUCAUAUAUGCUUGUCGUGUGCAUGAUUUGGUUCUUGAUAUGAUUCAUUUCCUAUCAGAAGACGAAGGUUUUGUUACUGCAUCAAACAGUGACAGGACAUCUCCACGUAUCACUGCUCGUAGGUUAGCCAUAAAUAAUGAAGUCGUAAAGCGGCGGGAUGGAUCUGUGGCUGACCCGAGCAUGCAGCAAGUGAGGUCAUAUAGUGCCACCAUGUGUCAAUUUCGUAUGGUGCCAUUGCUUUCAAACUUUAAAGCUCUACAUGUGUUGGCUUUAGAAGAGUGCAAGUUCAUCGCAAGCGUGCAAUUCUCCGUGGUGCCGAAAAAUUCUCCUUAUCAUCUUAAGCAUCUUGGGAGGCUGAUUCACCUGAGGUACCUUGGUAUCUCGGAGCAUCUUGGGAAGAUAGAGGUCCCUGAAGAAAUAGGGAAUCUAAGGUUUUUGCAGGUACUGGACUUGGGCAGAAGUGGCAUAGAGAAACUGCCUCAGAGUGUUGGUCGGCUAACACAACUGAAGUGCCUACGCUUUGGCGGUUCUUGCAUGGGGGUGUUGGACUGGACGAAUCUAACAUCUCUGGAAGAGCUACAGUGGCACCAUGUCUCUCCAGACUUUCUGAAAGGGCUGGGCACGCUGAAGGAGCUGAGACAGUUGAACGUACUCCUUCAAAAGCAAGAUAAUGUGUUGUUCAAAGAUUUG
rnacentral:rRNA from 1 species